UUUAGCCGUUGCUCAAUGUCCUUGUUGUUUUCUUGAGUCCAGGGUGGGUGUGUGUGUGUGUGUGUGUCCUAGAUAAGUUAUAAUCUUGUCCAGCAUAUGUGUGCAAUGAGUUUGUGUGUCUUAAUGUAUGUGUAGUUCCUGUUUUCACAUAGCCAGCCGUUGGCCGAUACUGAGACUAAGGCAUUGUGGUUGGGCCAGUUCCUGUUUAUGUGCUGUGAGUGGAGACAUCAGUCUGCUUGUGUCAGCGUUAUUGAGUGCUGUUUCCUAUUGAGUAAUACUUGGUAGACAGAUGAAGUUAAUAUGCUGAAGUUAAUAUGUUAUAGCAAAAGGCCUGGUUAUAACGAACACAGCUAAGUGCUCAUGCUUACACUGGAUAACAUGAAAACAGCCUAACCAACUCUGCUAGGGCAAGUAAAAUGGAGAGAGACGGAACUAUUCUCUCCAGAUCAAAACACCUCAAACACCUGCAGAGAUCCACAGGGAAGAGAACUCGCUGCUGCUCUGACUGUGGGAAGAGAUUCACCUCCUCAGGCAUUAAAAAUCAUCAGAGAAAAAACAGAGGAGAGAAAUCUUAUAGCUGUGGUCAAUGUGGGAGGAGUUUUACUACAUCUAGCGGUCUGACAGUACACCUGAGAACACACAUAGGAGAGAAACCUUAUAGCUGUGACCAGAGAUAACCUGAUAAAAGAUCUCUGAUCAAAUAUUAGAAAAUACAUACAUGAAGGAGUUGUUUCAUGAUUUCAAUGAAUUAAUGUCACAAUUUAGAAUGUGCUAACAUUGUAGCAGGAGUAUUUUAAUGAUUUCACAAUGUAGAAGCCUAAACGUUUUCCCCCUUAUGAAUUGAUUUCAACAUGAUAUGGAUAUUAGCCCCAGGCGAAAAAUCCAGGCUCUGAAUUAAGAGUGUUAUUUAACAAAAAGUGAGUAACAAGAAAAGAGCUGUGUUACACUUAUUGUGUUGGUGACCCACUUUAAUCAAAAUGCAGCACUUCAAAAUGUAGCUAGCUGUUUUCUACAAGUUGAAAAAGCUGCUUGUUUAAAAAAUACAUGUAAUAUUAUAAUUGUUGCAGAUGUUUGUGUAUAUACACACAUGAAAGCAGUAUAAUAAAUUGGUCUAUAAUCAAUUUUAUUAACAAUCUGACAUCACUCCAGUAUUUCUUGACAACGUUCAAAUGCUAAUUGUCUUUAUUCCACUACUGAAGAAGCAUAACUCAAAUCACCUACUCAUAUUUCAAACAUUCAGCCUGACAAAAUAUACAUGUUUUAUUAUUCCAUGCCUCACCAUUAAGUGAAGUAUUGCCACUUAUAGCUCGUUAGCACGUAGGGUGCACUGAUUGGUGUCACCUCGUUAGUCAGUAUGUGUUACACCUGUGCUGGCUUGUCCAUCUCGUUAGUGGGAAAGUGUUUCACAUGACCUGGUCCAGGUUCGUUGUCUUGACCUGCUCCCUUAUUAUUAAGCGAAUAAAGAUUUAGUUUAAGUAUAACUCUGACUUGUGUGAUACGUUUGUCACCUCAUUUGAUAUGAAAGAAAUCAACAACCACAUUUGGCGAUGGGGCGUGAAUCUUGACUUGGUGACUGACGACAUGGCUAAAUGGUGCACGAGAGAUCCCUCUAACUUGGGAUCUCAGGGAGACCACACUUCGGCAAUGGAGCAGAUGAACCCACCUUUGAUCUGAGUGGAUACCACAGCUCGAACCUAGUUUUUUAAAAAGAAAGAGGAGAGAGACAAGACUAUCGUGGAUCCUCUGUGGAGCCUCAACAACACCAUGAUGCUGAUGAGGCAGAGAAAAGUCUCUCCAGAUCAGAACUCCUCAAGAAACACCAGCGAGUACACACAGGAGAGGAAUCUUACUGCUGCUCUGACUGUGGGAAAAUAUUAAACUCUUCAGUAAAACUUAAAAUACAUCAAAGAAUCCACACUGAAGAAAAACCUUUUGGCUGUACUCAAUGUGGGAAGAGUUUUGUUAGUUCUAGUAAACUGAAGAGACACCAGAGAACACACACAGGAGAGAAACCUUAUAGCUGUGAUCAAUGUGGGAAGAAAUUUACUACAUCUAGCUAUCUAACUAUACACCAGAGAACACACACAGGAGAGAAAUCUUAUACCUGUAAUCACUGUGUAAAGAGUUUUACUCAGCUAAACAGCCUGAUAGUACACCAGCGGACACACACAGGAGAGAAACGUUAUAGCUGUGAUCAGUGCGGGAAGAGUUUUACUAAAUCUAGCUAUCUACCUAUACACCAGAGAACACACACAGGAGAGAAACCUUAUAUCUGUGCUCAAUGUGGGAAAAGAUUUGCCAGAUCUAGCUAUCUAACUAUACAUCAGAGAACACACACAGUAGAGAGAUAUUUUGGCUGUGAUAAAUGUGGGAAGAGAUUUACCAGAUUUAGCUAUCUAACUAUACACCAGAGAACACACACAGGAGAUAAACCAUAUAGCUGUGAUCAAUGUGGGAAGAGUUUCGGUACAUCUGGCUGUCUGACAGAACACCAGAGAACACACACAGGACAGAAUCUUUAUAGCUGUAAUCAAUGUGGGAAGAAAAAUCUGUGACCAGAGAUAAUCUGGUAAAAGAUAUCUGAUUAAACAUCAGAAAAUACAUGUUUCAUGAUAUCAAUGAAAUAAUGUUUUUAAUAUUGUGGAAGUAUUUUAGUAGCUCAAAAUGUAGAAUGUUUUAACAUUGUAGUUGCAGUAUUUUAAUGAUGUCACAAUGUAGAACCCUAAACAUUUGCUCUGAAUUGAAAGAGUACUAUUUAUGAGAUUUAACAAAAUAUGACUAACAAAAAUAGAGUUGUUACACUUACCACGUUGAUGACCCACUUGAAUCAAAAUGCAACACUUCAAAAUGUUUAGGUUUUCAAUAUAUCCCAAACUGUUUCUACAUAUUGGUUAUUGAUUUGGACACGUUAAAACUGUGUUUUGACACUGCGCUAUUCCCACUUAGCAAAAUGUAAUUCAAAAGACGUUGAAAAGACUAUGCCCAACGUCCAAUAUAUGUUCGGUUAUAGUUGAAAGUGAAAGUUAAAAAGAUGUAUUUUCGGGUCGUUUUUUUUUAAAUUACUUGAAAACAACAACAACGUACUUGCAGCCUAUACACAUGGACGCAGUGUAAUGAAUUGGUCUAUAAUCAAUUUUAUUAACAAUUCUACAUCCCUCCAGUAUUUAUUGACAACAUUCAAGUGCUAAUUAUCUUUAUUCCACUACUGAAGAAGCAU